rnacentral:misc_RNA from 1 species
GAGAAUUUUAUGGGUUUUGGGCAGUUGUUUCCAGUAACGGAAAUAGUGCUAGUGGUGGAGUUGAUGGUUCUGCUAGCUGCUGCUGCUGCUGCUGCUUUACCUCUCUCUCUCUCUCUCUCUCUCUCUCUCUAUUUUGGCUCAAUCAAUGAACAGCCAACAGCCAUUUUAUUUUCGCCCUUUUUUAUACCAAGAGAAAACAAAGGCCAGGCAGAAAGAGAGAGAGAGAGAGAGAGAGA